rnacentral:rRNA from 1 species
AUUGAACGCUGGCGGCAUGCCUUACACAUGCAAGUCGAACGGUAACAGGUCUUCGGAUGCUGACGAGUGGCGAACGGGUGAGUAAUACAUCGGAACGUGCCCGAGAGUGGGGGAUAACGAGGCGAAAGCUUUGCUAAUACCGCAUACGAUCUCAGGAUGAAAGCAGGGGACCGCAAGGCCUUGCGCUCACGGAGCGGCCGAUGUCAGAUUAGGUAGUUGGUGGGGUAAAGGCUCACCAAGCCAACGAUCUGUAGCUGGUCUGAGAGGACGACCAGCCACACUGGGACUGAGACACGGCCCAGACUCCUACGGGAGGCAGCAGUGGGGAAUUUUGGACAAUGGGCGCAAGCCUGAUCCAGCAAUGCCGCGUGCAGGAAGAAGGCCUUCGGGUUGUAAACUGCUUUUGUACGGAGCGAAAAGGCUCCCUCUAAUACAGGGGGCUCAUGACGGUACCGUAAGAAUAAGCACCGGCUAACUACGUGCCAGCCGCCGCCGUAACAC